UCUCGGCAACGGAUAUCUCGGCUCUCGCAUCGAUGAAGAACGUAGCGAAAUGCGAUACUUGGUGUGAAUUGCAGAAUCCCGUGAACCAUCGAGUCUUUGAACGCAAGUUGCGCCCGAAGCCUUUCGGCCGAGGGCACGUCUGCCUGGGCGUCACGCAUCGUCGC
rnacentral:rRNA from 1 species